ensembl:lncRNA
GUACAUAUAGGCUGUGUGCUCUGAAACACAGAAGCAUAAACUGUGUACAUAUAGGCUGUGUGCUCUGAAACACAGAGACAUAAACUGUGUACAUAUAGGCUGUGUGCUCUGAAACACAGAGGCAUGAACUGUGUACAUAUAGGCUGUGUGCUCUGAAACACGGAGCUGAAGUGUAAGGUGUCUAAUCCAGUUAAAUGUGUUCAUUGCUCAUCUAACCUACAGUACUAGAGGGGAUGAAUAUCAUCCAAAGAGGCGUGAACGACCUACAAAGUGGCCAGAACAACCUACAAAGUGGCCAGAUCAACCUACAAUGUGGCCAGAUCGACCUAAAAAGUGGCCAGAUCGAACUACAAAAUAGCGUGGACUACCUUACAAACAUCAUUCAGGGUAAGUGUCUAACCUACAGUGUUGCCUGCACUAGAGAUGUUAAAUGAAACCGUGCACAAUAU